UUGUCUUCUAAAUAAAGACCUGUAUGAACGGCUAAAUGAGGACAAACCUGUCUCUUAUAACCAACCAGUGAAACUGAUCUCCCAGUACAAAAGCUGGAAUCAACUCAUAAGACGAGAAGACCCUGUGGAGCUUAAAACAAACCACUAAUUUACACCAUCUUAACCUAGUGAAAUGUUUUCAGUUGGGGCGACUUCGGAAUAAAACAUAACUUCCGAGCACAGAACCAUUAGUUCUAACCAAGGCCAACAAGCCAAAGUAUAAUAUGACCCGGCACACGCCGAUCAACGAACCAAGUUACCCCAGGGAUAACAGCGCUAUCCUCUUCAAGAGUCCCUAUCAACAAGAGGGUUUACGACCUCGAUGUUGGAUCAGGACACCCAAAUGGUGCAGCCGCUAUUAAAGGUUCGUUUGUUCAACGAUU
rnacentral:rRNA from 1 species